rnacentral:rRNA from 1 species
UACGUAGGGUGCGAGCGUUGUCCGGAAUUAUUGGGCGUAAAGGGCUCGUAGGCGGUUUGUCGCGUCGGGAGUGAAAACCCAGGGCUUAACCCUGGGCUGGCUUCCGAUACGGGCAGACUAGAGGUAUGCAGGGGAGAACGGAAUUCCUGGUGUAGCGGUGAAAUGCGCAGAUAUCAGGAGGAACACCGGUGGCGAAGGCGGUUCUCUGGGCAUUACCUGACGCUGAGGGGCGAAAGUGUGGGGAGCGAACAGG